rnacentral:lncRNA from 1 species
CUCAGUGCCCACGUCCAGGUGAACCCUGGAGACCGGCCCACAUUGAAGAGGAGCGAGUGGGGCCAAUGGUCACAGAGAAAGGCCUGCCGAGUCUCAGACACCCCGCCCUGCAUCUCAGGCUGCAGCCAGGAGAGGUUCAGGCACCUCCCACAGUCGAGGCCUCUGAGGCCCCCAGAUAAGCCACAGAUCUCCAUGUCUGAGUUCGGUUACUGGAAGACUAUUGUGAUCUUUUCGUGAUGUCCUGUUUCCUUGAUUCUUCAUCUUCCGUGGAGUUUUGUGUUGCUGUUUCACAUUUGAUGUAUCAGUCACAUUCUCCAGGCUUUACCAGCCGCCUUCAGGUGUGUCUUCUCUGACCAGUUGUGUCCCAAAUUCCCCAGGAGUAUCUAUUCUGACUUGGAACAUCUUACUAGUUCACCAGGUGUGACAACCCUGACCUGGCAGACUUCUUUGUCUCCGAGAUACGUCUACCAUGAAUUUGAAUGCCUCUAUAAUUCUCCACGUGUCCACACUGACAUGGGAUGUCUCCCUAAUUACCCAGGUUUGUCUACAGUGACCUGGGAGGUCUUAAUAUUUCCCCAAAUGUGUCUACAGGGAUGUUGGAUGUCUACCACUUCUCCAGGUGUCUCCACUAUAAACUAGGAUAUCAUCCUAAUUCAAGAGUAUGCAGGUUUAUCUACUCUGACAUGGGAAGUCUCCCCAGUACCA